rnacentral:lncRNA from 1 species
UCCAGAGUUUGUGUCGCAGCGUUUUCUCUCCGUGUGAAGGUCCAGCUGAAGAUAUUGGAACACCCCUUAAGAUGGCUGUGGGUAUGUGCUGAGGGGAAGUGAAAGAGAUGUUGAACCACUAAUGUAACGCAGCGCCAGGCUCAUGAGAAAAGGGAGGAAACCCUGGAAGUGAAAGAGUUCAGUCAGUUGAGACUCCAUUUUGAGUGGAGAGAACAGAGCAGGAGGAGGACACUGAAGGCUGAGGCAGGACUGACUUCAGAUCAGAAGAUGAGUGGUUUGGAGGAAGAGGAGGACGGAGCAGAGUCUGUAGUAUCUGGCUGUCUGUCUAUGAAGAGUGACCG